AACCUUUACACUGCACGACAGUGCGAUAAGGGAAUCCCAAGUGCGUAGGCAUAGAGCCUACGCUUUUGUCCACCGUAGGGAGGUGGACGAAUAAGGGCUGGGCAAGACCGGUGCCAGCCGCCGCGGUAAUACCGGCAGCCCGAGUGAUGGCCGAUCUUAUUGGGCCUAAAGCGUCCGUAGCUGGCCGCGCAAGUCUAUCGGAAAAUCCACCCGCUCAACGGGUGGGCGUCCGGUAGAAACUGCGUGGCUUGGGACCGGAAGGCGCGACGGGUACGUCCGGGGUAGGAGUGAAAUCCCGUAAUCCUGGACGGACCGCCGAUGGCGAAAGCACGUCGCGAAGACGGAUCCGACAGUGAGGGACGAAAGCUAGGGUCUCGAACCGGAUUAAAUACCCGGGUAGUCCUAGCCGCAAACAAUGCCUGCUAGGUGUGGCUCCCACUACGAGUGGGUGCUGUGCCGUAGGGAAGCCGCUAAGCAGGCCGCCUGGGAAGUACGUCCGCAAGGAUGAAACUUAA
rnacentral:rRNA from 1 species